GAUGAACGCUGGCGGCGUGCCUAAUACAUGCAAGUCGAGCGAACAGAUGAGGAGCUUGCUCCUCUGACGUUAGCGGCGGACGGGUGAGUAACACGUGGAUAACCUACCUAUAAGACUGGGAUAACUUCGGGAAACCGGAGCUAAUACCGGAUAAUAUAUUGAACCGCAUGGUUCAAUAGUGAAUGACGGUUUUGCUGUCACUUAUAGAUGGAUCCGCGCCGCAUUAGUUAGUUGGUAAGGUAACGGCUUACCAAGGCAACGAUGCGUAGCCGACCUGAGAGGGUGAUCGGCCACACUGGAACUGAGACACGGUCCAGACUCCUACGGGAGGCAGCAGUAGGGAAUCUUCCGCAAUGGGCGAAAGCCUGACGGAGCAACGCCGCGUGAGUGAUGAAGGUCUUCGGAUCGUAAAACUCUGUUAUUAGGGAAGAACAAAUGUGUAAGUAACUAUGCACGUCUUGACGGUACCUAAUCAGAAAGCCACGGCUAACUACGUG
rnacentral:rRNA from 1 species